rnacentral:rRNA from 1 species
GACGUAGGGUCCGAGCGUUGUCCGGAGUUACUGGGCGUAAAGGGCGCGUAGGCGGCUCUGUGCGUCACCCGUGAAAGCCCCCCGGCUCAACCGGGGAGGGUCGGGUGAAACGGCGGAGCUGGAGGCAGCGAGAGGCUGGUGGAAUUCCCGGAGUAGUGGUGAAAUGCGUAGAGAUCGGGAGGAACACCGGUGGCGAAGGCGGCUCUCUGGGACGGUACUGACGCUGAGACGCGAAAGCGUGGGGAGCGAACAGG